rnacentral:rRNA from 1 species
ACAAGCGGUGGAGCAUGUGGUUAAUUCGAAGCAACGCGAAGAACCUUACCAGGCCUUGACAUGCAGAGAACUUUCCAGAGAUGGAUUGGUGCCUUCGGGAACUCUGACACAGGUGCUGCAUGGCUGUCGUCAGCUCGUGUCGUGAGAUGUUGGGUUAAGUCCCGUAACGAGCGCAACCCUUGUCCUUAGUUACCAGCACGUUAUGGUGGGCACUCUAAGGAGACUGCCGGUGACAAACCGGAGGAAGGUGGGAUGACGUCAAGUCAUCAUGGCCCUUACGGCCUGGGCUACACACGUGCUACAAUGGUCGGUACAAAGGGUUGCCAAGCCGCGAGGUGGAGCUAAUCCCAUAAAACCGAUCGUAGUCCGGAUCGCAGUCUGCAACUCGACUGCGUGAAGUCGGAAUCGCUAGUAAUCGUGAAUCAGAAUGUCACGGUGAAUACGUUCCCGGGCCUU